rnacentral:rRNA from 1 species
CACGGGGGGGGCAAGCGUUGUUCGGAAUUACUGGGCGUAAAGGGUGCGUAGGCGGUCCGCUAAGUUGGAUGUGAAAACUCUGGGCUUAACCAGAGCCUGCAUUCAAAACUGACGGGCUAGAGUUCUGGAGGGGGUAGCGGAAUUCCUGGUGUAGCGGUGAAAUGCGUAGAUAUCAGGAGGAACACCGGUGGCGAAGGCGGCUACCUGGACAGAAACUGACGCUGAGGCACGAAAGCUAGGGGAGCAAACAGG